rnacentral:rRNA from 1 species
GACGAACCGUCCUAAGGUUGUCCGGAAUCACUGGGCUUAAAGGGCGCGUAGGCGGCUUGCCAAGUCGGGGGUGAAAUCCUGCAGCUUAACUGUAGAAGGGCCUUUGAUACUGGCGAGCUCGAGGGAGGUAGGGGUAUGUGGAACUUCCGGUGGAGCGGUGAAAUGCGUUGAUAUCGGAAGGAACGCCGGUGGCGAAAGCGACGUACUGGACCUCUUCUGACGCUGAGGCGCGAAAGCUAGGGGAGCAAACGGG